UAAGACGAGGGAUCCUAGCGUUGUUCGGAAUCAUUGGGCGUAAAGAGGGCGUAGGUGGCUUGGUAAGUCAGGUGUGAAAGCCCAGGGCUCAACCCUGGAAGUGCAUUUGAUACUGCUGAGCUUGAGUGUUGGAGAGGUCAUUGGAAUACCUGGUGUAGUGGUGAAAUACGUAGAUAUCAGGUGGAACACCGGAGGCGAAGGCGAGUGACUGGCCAAACACUGACACUGAGGCCCGAAAGCGUGGGGAUCAAACAGGAUUAGAUACCCUGGUAGUCCACGCCGUAAACGAUGGAUACUUGCUGUUGGAGGUAUUGACCCCUUCAGUGGCGAAGCUAACGCGUUAAGUAUCCCGCCUGGGGAGUACGGUCGCAAGAUUAAAACUCAAAUGAAUUGACGG
rnacentral:rRNA from 1 species